GAAAUAUUAAAAAAAAUAAGCUUCUAACUUAAUUUUAAAGCAUAAUGUUUAUAUUUCU
rnacentral:tRNA from 1 species